UCCUGUUUAAAACCUGUUACUUUUACCAGUCUAACGAAGGGUGGAAGUCUACAAUGAUAAAUUUUGACCUUUUGACCUUCUGUGUGUUUAUGAAUGCUUUUCUGCCAGGUCAAUUUAUUGCUGCUAUUUGAUACGUUCAGGUUUAAAUUAGGUGCAAAGCCCUCUACUUCGCUCUUUCUCCAAGACCCUGGUAAAUCUUAAUCAGCCUCUGGCUGGAUAUCCAAUACUUUGUAAGCCCUCUUAUCAUGCGCUUUAAUUUCUGCCUGUAACAACUGCCUGCUGACUAAGCUUCACUCGUGCUAUGACCCUAUGUUAACAAGGACUUGAAAUAGUUGGAGGACUACUUGGAUUCUGCUAAUCUUCAGCCUUCAUGAUGUUGUAAAAGGAUCAUAGGAGUCGGAGGAGUAGCCAAGAGAGAAGCUCUCUUCUGACUGAAAUCUACCAGCAAGUGCACUUCAAGGAACGUAACCUGCAAGACUGCAGAGGCAAAGUGGAAUGAGGCUUUUACUGACCAUGGGAAUCUCAGAGCAUGUGAACAACUCUGCAGUGGGUAGUUCAAUGUCGUUUUUGGAACAAGUGCCUGCUGGUCAAAAAGCC